rnacentral:rRNA from 1 species
CACUUCUAAGGAAGGCAGCAGGCGCGCAAAUUACCCAAUCCUGACUCAGGGAGGUAGUGACAAGAAAUAACAAUAAACCGGCUUAUGCCGGUUUAAUUGGAAUGAGUACAAUUUAAACAUCUUAACGAGGAACAAUUGGAGGGCAAGUCUGGUGCCAGCAGCCGCGGUAAUUCCAGCUCCAAUAGCGUAUACUAAAGUUGUUGCAGUUAAAAAGCUCGUAGUUGGAUUUCUGUGGGGACGGAGCGGCCGGCCGCACAUCGCGGUUCGAGCUAGCGCUUUCCCUACAUCCUGCCGCGAACCGUGCUACCAUUAAUUUGGUGGCGCCGGGGAUCGGCUCGAUUACUUUGAGAAAAAUAGAGUGUUCAAAGCAGGCCACAUGCCUUGAAUAAGCUAGCAUGGAAUAAUAACUAAGGACUUCGGUUCUAUUUUGUUGGUGUUCGGGACUGAAGUAAUGAUUGAUAGGGACAGUUGGGGCGGUCUGUAUUCCAAAGCGAGAGGUGAAAUUCUUAGACCUUCGGAAGACAAACAGCUGCGAAAGCGUUCCGCAAGGAUGUUCCCUUUGAUCAAGAACGAAAGUUGGGGGAUCGAAGACGAUCAGAUACCGUCGUAGUCUCAACUAUAAACUAUACCAGCUAGGGAUCGGCCAACGUUAUUUUAUACCGACUUGGUCGGCACCUUAUGAGAAAUCAAAGCAUCUGGGUUCCGGGGGGAGUAUGGUCGCAAGGCUGAAACUUAAAGGAAUUGACGGAAGGGCACCACCAGCCGUGGAGCCUGUGGCUUAAUUUGACUCAACACGGGAAAACUUACCAGGUCCAGACAUAGUAAGGAUUGACAGAUUGAUAGCUCUUUCUUGAUUCUGUGGGUGGUGGUGCAUGGCCGUUCUUAGUUGGUGGAGUGGUUUGUCUGGUUAAUUCCGUUAACGAACGAGACCCCAGCCUGCUAAAUAGCGCGCGUGAGCUUUGCUCGCGGCGAGCUUCUUAGAGGGACUCUGAUGCGCGAUAGCACAUGGAAGUUUGGGGCAAUAACAGGUCUGUGAUGCCCUUAGAUGUUCUGGGCCGCACACGGGCUACACUGGCGCCUGCAACGAGCAUAUCAGCUGGCCCGAGAGGGUCUUGGCUAAUCUUUUGAACCGGCGCCGUGCUUGGGAUUGACCUUUGCAAUUGUUGGUCAUGCAACGAGGAAUGCCUUGUAAACGCGAGUCAUCAGCUCGCAUUGAAUACGUCCCUGCCCUUUGUACACACCGCCCGUCGCUCCUACCGAUGAAUGUUCCGAUGAAAUUUUCGGAGAGCACCUGUGAACUUGGCUCUGCCUUGCGAACGGGAGGCUCAAAGUCACUUAAAUCUGAACAUUUCGAGG